rnacentral:rRNA from 1 species
UACGUAGGGUGCAAGCGUUGUCCGGAAUUAUUGGGCGUAAAGAGCUCGUAGGCGGUUUGUUGCGUCGGCUGUGAAAUCCCGAGGCUCAACCUCGGGUCUGCAGUCGAUACGAGCAAACUAGAGUGUUGCAGGGGAGACUGGAAUUCCUGGUGUAGCGGUGAAAUGCGCAGAUAUCAGGAGGAACACCGGUGGCGAAGGCGGGGUCUCUGGGCAACAACUGACGCUGGAGGAGCGAAAGCGUGGGGGAGCGAACAGGA